CUGCUGCCUACAAUGUUGGAGAAAUCGGUUUCUGCCAUAACUGAAUGUUUGAAUAAAUGGAACUUGCCACCAGGAGUGUCCUCCAAUCCUGUGCCCUCUUCCAAGAUUGUACCUAAGAAGACGAAUGAUCUUCAGAUGGGAAAAUAAACCCAGCAGUCUGCAGCUAGAGAAUUUUUCAGAAUCAAAUCACUCAAUCUCAUAGAAAAUUUGAGC